rnacentral:rRNA from 1 species
GCAGUGGGGAAUAUUGCACAAUGGGCGGGAGCCUGAUGCAGCGACGCCGCGUGGAGGAAGAAGGCCUUCGGGUUGUAAACUUCUUUUAUAGGGGAAAAUAGUGAUGGUACCUUAUGAAUAAGCCACGGCUAACUCUGUGCCAGCAGCCGCGGUAAUACGUAGGGUGCAAGCGUUAAUCGGAAUUACUGGGCGUAAAGCGUGCGCAGGCGGUUUUGUAAGACAGAGGUGAAAUCCCCGGGCUUAACCUGGGAACUGCCUUUGUGACUGCAAAGCUCGAAUGCGGCAGGGGGGGAUGGAAUUCCGCGUGUAGCAGUGAAAUGCGUAGAUAUGCGGAGGAACACCGAUGGCGAAGGCAAUCCCCUGGGCCUGCACUGACGCUCAUGCACGAAAGUGUGGGGAGCAAACAGGAUUAGAUACCCCGGUAGUCC